rnacentral:tRNA from 1 species
GGCCCGUUCGUCUAUCGGCAUAGGACGCUGGCCCCUCAAGCCGGAAAGGCGGGUUCGAUUCCCGCACGGGCCACUA